rnacentral:rRNA from 1 species
AGAGAUGCACUGGGUUUAAAGCGUGCGCAGGCGGUUUUGUAAGACAGAGGUGAAAUCCCCGGGCUCAACCUGGGAACUGCCUUUGUGACUGCAAGGCUGGAGUGCGGUAGAGGGGGAUGGAAUUCCGCGUGUAGCAGUGAAAUGCGUAGAUAUGCGGAGGAACACCGAUGGCGAAGGCAAUCCCCUGGGCCUGCACUGACGCUCAUGCACGAAAGCGUGGGGAGCAAACA